AACCCCAACUUCGGGAGGGGUGUAUUUAUUAGAUAAAAAACCAACGCCCUUCGGGGCUUCUUGGUGAUUCAUGAUAACUUUACGGAUCGCAUGGCCUUGCGCUGGCGACGGUUCAUUCAAAUUUCUGCCCUAUCAACUUUCGAUGGUAAGGUAUUGGCUUACCAUGGUUUCAACGGGUAACGGGGAAUUAGGGUUCGAUUCCGGAGAGGGAGCCUGAGAAACGGCUACCACAUCCAAGGAAGGCAGCAGGCGCGCAAAUUACCCAAUCCCGACACGGGGAGGUAGUGACAAUAAAUACUGAUACAGGGCUCUUUUGGGUCUUGUAAUUGGAAUGAGUACAAUUUAAACCUCUUAACGAGGAACAAUUGGAGGGCAAGUCUGGUGCCAGCAGCCGCGGUAAUUCCAGCUCCAAUAGCGUAUAUUAAAGUUGUUGCAGUUAAAAAGCUCGUAGUUGAAACUUGGGUCUGGCUGGCGGGUCCGCCUCACCGCGUGUACUUGUCCGGCCGGGCCUUCCUUCUGGAGAACCUCAUGCCCUUUACUGGGCGUGUUGGGGACCAGGACUUUUACUUUGAAAAAAUUAGAGUGUUCAAAGCAGGCCUUUGCUCGAAUACGUUAGCAUGGAAUAAUAGAAUAGGACGUGCGGUCCUAUUUUGUUGGUUUCUAGGACCGCCGUAAUGAUUAAUAGGGACAGUCGGGGGCAUCAGUAUUCAAUUGUCAGAGGUGAAAUUCUUGGAUUUAUUGAAGACUAACUACUGCGAAAGCAUUUGCCAAGGAUGUUUUCAUUAAUCAGUGAACGAAAGUUAGGGGAUCGAAGACGAUCAGAUACCGUCGUAGUCUUAACCGUAA
rnacentral:rRNA from 1 species